AGGGUGCAGGGCGGAUGCCUUGGCACUAGGAGCCGAUGAAGGACGUGAUAAGCUGCGAUAAGCUUCGGGGAGUUGCACGUAAACUUUGAUCCGAAGAUUUCCGAAUGAGGAAACUCACUUAGAGUAAUGUCUAAGUAUCAUUAAGUGAAUACAUAGCUUAAUGAGGGGAACUCAGGGAACUGAAACAUCUAAGUACCUGAAGGAAGAGAAAGAAAUUCGAUUCCGUAAGUAGCGGCGAGCGAACGCGGAUUAGCCCAAACCAAUGAAGUUUUCUUUAUUGGGGUUGUGGACAUAUCAUAACGAAGAGGUAUCGUAAUUGAAGAGGUUUGGAAAGACCCACCACAGAAGGUAAUAGUCCUGUAUGUUAAACGAGAAGACUUCAGAUAUGAUCCAGAGUACCACGGGACACGUGAAACCCUGUGGGAAGCAGGAGGGACCACCCUCCAAGGCUAAAUACUACCUAGUGACCGAUAGCGUAUAGUACCGUGAGGGAAAGGUGAAAAGAACCCCGGGAGGGGAGUGAAAUAGAACCUGAAACCCUGCACUUACAAGCUGUGGAAGCACAUUUCUUGUGUGACCGCGUACUUUUUGUAGAACGGGCCAACGAGUUACGUUAAGUAGCAAGGUUAAGCACUUAAGGUGCGGAGCCGUAGCGAAAGCGAGUUUUAACUGAGCGUUCAGUUACUUGACGUAGACCCGAAACCGGGCGACCUACCCAUGAGCAGGAUGAAGCGAAAGUAAAAUUUCGUGGAGGUCCGAACCCACGAGCGUUGAAAAGCUCGGGGAUGACUUGUGGGUAGCGGUGAAAUUCCAAUCGAGCCCGGAGAUAGCUGGUUCUCCCCGAAAUAGCUUUAGGGCUAGCCUCAAGGUGAGAGAUACGGAGGUAGAGCACUGAAUGUCCUAGGGGGUAUUGCACCUACCGAAGACUAUCAAACUCCGAAUGCCGUCAUCUUAUACUUGGGAGUCAGACUGUGGGUGAUAAGAUUCAUAGUCGAAAGGGCAACAGCCCAGAUCGUCAGCUAAGGUCCCUAAAUGUAAGUUAAGUGGUAAAGGAUGUGGGAUUGCACAGACAACCAGGAUGUUGGCUUAGAAGCAGCCACUCAUUCAAAGAGUGCGUAAUAGCUCACUGGUCGAGUGAUCCUGCGCCGAAGAUUUCCGGGGCUAAAACUUACUACCGAAGCUACGGCAUCAGUAAUGAUGGGUAGGGGAGCUUCCCAUACGGGUUGAAGCAUGACCGUAAGGACAUGUGGACAGUAUGGGAGUGAGAAUGUUGGCAUGAGUAGCGAGAUGUGGGUGAGAAUCCCACAGGCCGUAAACCCAAGGUUUCCAGGGGAAGGUUCGUCCGCCCUGGGUUAGUCGGGACCUAAGCUGAGGCCGAAAGGCGUAGGUGAUGGACAACAGGUUGAUAUUCCUGUACUACCGAUAACCGUUUGAGAGAAGGGAUGACACAGUAGGAUAAGCUAAGCACACUGUUGGUUAUGUGUGCCCAAGCAUUGAGGCAGUCAAAGUAGGCAAAUCCGCUUUGAUAAUGCUGGGAUGUGAUGGGGAGCGAAAUUUAGUAGCGAAGUAGCUGAUUUCACACUGUCAAGAAAAGUCUCUAUCGAGGUUAAAGGUACCCGUACCGCAAACCGACACAGGUGGGUGAGGAGAGUAUCCUAAGGCCAGCGAGAGAACUGUUGUUAAGGAACUCGGCAAAAUGACCCCGUAACUUAGGGAUAAGGGGUGCCACCAUCAGGUGGCCGCAGAGAAUAGGCCCAAGCGACUGUUUACCAAAAACAUAGGUUUCUGCUAAGUCGCAAGACGAUGUAUAGGAGCUGACGCCUGCCCGGUGCUGGAAGGUUAAGGGGAUCUGUUAGAGCAAUCGAAGCAGUGAACUUAAGCCCCAGUAAACGGCGGCCGUAACUAUAACGGUCCUAAGGUAGCGAAAUUCCUUGUCGGGUAAGUUCCGACCCGCACGAAAGGCGUAACGAUUUGGGCACUGUCUCAACAACAGACUCGGUGAAAUUGUAAUUCCGGUGAAGAUGCCGGAUACCUGCGACAGGACGGAAAGACCCCAUGGAGCUUUACUGUAGCUUGACAUUGGGUCUUGGUACUACAUGUACAGGAUAGGUGGGAGGCUUUGAAACCAGGACGCCAGUUUUGGCGGAGCCAUCCUUGGGAUACCACCCUUGUAGUACUGGGACUCUAACCAUAGGCCAUGAAUCUGGUCUUGGGACACUGUCA
rnacentral:rRNA from 1 species